UAAGGCGGCCACAGCGGCGGGGCGACUCCCGUACCCAUCCCGAACACGGCAGAUAAGCCCGCCAGCGUUCCAACGAGUACUGGAGUGCGCGAGCCUCUGGGAAAAUUGCCUCGCAAGAG
rnacentral:rRNA from 2 species